UGGUGGUCUUGGCCUCAUGGAUACGCCCAGUCUCCUUUCCGAACCUGGUAGCUAAGCGUGAGCACGGUGAUGGUACUGCACUCGAUAGGGUGUGGGAGAGUAACACACCGCCACAAAU
rnacentral:rRNA from 1 species